UACAGAGGGUCUCAAGCGUUGUUCCGGAUUCAUUGGGCGUAAAGGGUCGCCGUAGGCGGCGCGGUAAGUCGGGUGUGAAAUCGUCGGAGCUUAACUCCGAAACUGCAUUCGAUACUGCCGUGCUUGAGGACUGGAGAGGAGACUGGAAUUACGGUGUAGCGGUGAAAUGCGUAGAUAUCGUAAGGAAGACCGUGGCGAAGGCGGGUCUCUGGACAGUUCCU
rnacentral:rRNA from 1 species